rnacentral:lncRNA from 1 species
AAAUGGAAGUUCCUGAGUCGGACCCAAUGGCAGGAAAGAAGAUUUGCGAACUCGCCCAGGGCAAAACUGGUGUAAAGUUUCAGAUAAAUGUUCAGAAUUAACCACCUCCUGUUACUCCUAAGAGCCCAAACAGAAAAUGACCGUCUGUUGGUUACAGAUCUGAGGAUAAGCCCCGCCAAGGACGCCGGCUGUGUGCUCACGGACUGUCUGGGCCCGCUGCAUCGAAGGCCUCCCCACUUGGGUUUCCCUCUCAGUAAUCUACAUGUUCUCAAGACAUGGGGAGGAGAAGAAAAGCAACCUUAUCAUUCAGGGAUUACGACCUUCCUUGGCUCCAACGAUUCAACUUUAAAUAUUUACUUGGCAGCUGAUUCAAAUUCAAAUAAAC